rnacentral:rRNA from 1 species
UACGGAGUGUGCAAGCGUUACUCGGAAUCACUGGGCAUAAAGCGCGCGUAGGCGGGUUUCCAAGUCGGUUGUGAAAUCCCUCAGCUCAACUGAGGAACUGCAUCCGAUACUGUUUGUCUUGAGGACGGGAGGGGAGAGUGGAACUUCUGGUGAAGCGGUGAAAUGCUUAGAUAUGACAUAGAACACCCAUUGCGAAGGCAGCUCACUACGCAUAUAUUGACGCUGAUGCACGAAAGCGUGGGGAUCAAACAGG